CAAAGAUAGAACAAUCCUCCCUUUUCCAUGUCCUUCAAAUAUACUGCCAGCUAAGAGAUUUACAGCGGAGCACUGGACUGAACUUCCAAAGUCCAGCCGAAGAGUGAGAGGAAUGAGAAUGUAAGCAAAGAGAUCAUGACCGUGAUGGAGAUACCCACUGAAUCAGCGUGCCUGAGGUGACAUGAUAAUUGUGGGUCUAGAGAGAGAUGAGCUGAUGACAUUCCUUCCUUAUAACUACUUCUUAGGGCCUCAUUCCAAAUGGGUGCUUAUCAAAGGACCGGCCAGGUGAGUGUUUCUUUUUCUCUUCAGUAAUAGUGAGAGCUGUAAGUGGUAGAAGGAAGCAGAGUUUUCUGUAAUAAAAUGAUUAGAGAAUUCUCUGUUUAGUUUUAUUUUGGGCCUAAUUAUAUCAACAGCAAACACAAAAGAUGUAUGUAGACAAAAAUAUCAUUGUAAUGAUUUGUAAAAGUAUAGAUUUUCCUCGCUGUGACCUCUGAUUGUAAUGUAUGUGACGGUAGAAGGUGGCCUAUUAGAAAGGCGACAGGCCCUAGUAGAAGUGUGGAUAGAGAGACAGGGAAGGAUAAUAGGGUGAAGCUGAUUAAUAGAUAUUAUGUAUUGAAUGAAAAAAUAAUGAAAUCUAUGUCUUUUUUUACAGUAAAUGUACAUUCAUAUC